GCAGGGAGCGGUGGUGCAGGCCUGUAGUUUCAGCUACUCAGAGGCGCAGGCAGGAGGAACGCUCAAGCCCAGGAGUUCUAGGCUGCAGUACGCUAUGCCCAUCAGGUGUCCACACUCAGUUCGGGAUCAAUACGGUGACUUCCUGGGAGCAGGGACCACCAGGUUGCCUAAAGAGGGGUGAACUGACCCAGGUCAGAAAAGGAGCAGGUCAAAAAAUACAAGUAAGAGCAAGUAAAGACAGGGCUUAGAACUCAGUUCAGGGUCCAAGGUAUGCCUUUGUGCCUGCU
rnacentral:SRP_RNA from 1 species